rnacentral:rRNA from 1 species
AGUGAACGCUGGCGGUAGGCCUAACACAUGCAAGUCGAACGGCAGCACAGUAAGAGCUUGCUCUUACGGGUGGCGAGUGGCGGACGGGUGAGGAAUACAUCGGAAUCUACUUUUUCGUGGGGGAUAACGUAGGGAAACUUACGCUAAUACCGCAUACGACCUACGGGUGAAAGCAGGGGAUCUUCGGACCUUGCGCGAUUGAAUGAGCCGAUGUCGGAUUGGCUAGUUAGCGGGGUAAAGGCCCACCAAGGCGACGAUCCGUAGCUGGUCUGAGAGGAUGAUCAGACACACUGGAACUGAGACACGGUCCAGACUCCUACGGGAGGCAGCAGUGGGGAAUAUUGGACAAUGGGCGCAAGCCUGAUCCAGCCAUACCGCGUGGGUGAAGAAGGCCUUCGGGUUGUAAAGCCCUUUUGUUGGGAAAGAAAAGCAGCAGGUUAAUACCCCGCUGUUCUGACGGUACCCAAAGAAUAAGCACCGGCUAACUUCGUG